rnacentral:rRNA from 1 species
UACGUAGGUCCCGAGCGUUGUCCGGAUUUAUUGGGCGUAAAGCGAGCGCAGGUGGUUUAUUAAGUUUGGUGUAAAAGGCAGUGGCCCAACCAUUGUAUGCAUUGGAAACUGGUAGACUUGAGUGCAGGAGAGGAGAGUGGAAUUCCAUGUGUAGCGGUGAAAUGCGUAGAUAUAUGGAGGAACACCGGUGGCGAAAGCGGCUCUCUGGCCUGUAACUGACACUGAGGCUCGAAAGCGUGGGGAGCAAACAGG